rnacentral:rRNA from 1 species
UGGGGAAUAUUGCGCAAUGGGGGGAACCCUGACGCAGCCAUGCCGCGUGAAUGAAGAAGGCCUUCGGGUUGUAAAGUUCUUUCGGUAUUGAGGAAGGUUGAUGUGUUAAUAGCACAUCAAAUUGACGUUAAAUACAGAAGAAGCACCGGCUAACUCCGUGCCAGCAGCCGCGGUAAUACGGAGGGUGCGAGCGUUAAUCGGAAUAACUGGGCGUAAAGGGCACGCAGGCGGUUAUUUAAGUGAGGUGUGAAAGCCCCGGGCUUAACCUGGGAAUUGCAUUUCAGACUGGAUAACUAGAGUACUUUAGGGAGGGGUAGAAUUCCACGUGUAGCGGUGAAAUGCGUAGAGAUGUGGAGGAAUACCGAAGGCGAAGGCAGCCCCUUGGGAAUGUACUGACGCUCAUGUGCGAAAGCGUGGGGAGCAAACAGGAUUAGAUACCCUGGUAGUCCACGCCGUAAACGCUGUCGAUUUGGGGGUUGGGGUUUAACUCUGGCGCCCGUAGCUAACGUGAUAAAUCGACCGCCUGGGGAGUACGGCCGCAAGGUUA